rnacentral:rRNA from 1 species
UACGUAGGGAGCAAGCGUUGUUCGGAUUUACUGGGCGUAAAGGGCGCGUAGGCGGCAAUUCAAGUCAUCUGUGAAAUCUCCGGGCUUAACUCGGAACGGUCAGAUGAUACUGCUUUGCUAGAGUGCAGAAGGGGCAAUCGGAAUUCUCGGUGUAGCGGUGAAAUGCGUAGAUAUCGGGAGGAACACCAGUGGCGAAGGCGGCGAUCUGGGUAGAUACUGACGCUGAGGUGCGAAAGCGUGGGGAGCAAACAGG